rnacentral:rRNA from 1 species
UAGGGAAUCUUCCACAAUGGACGCAAGUCUGAUGGAGCAACGCCGCGUGAGUGAAGAAGGUUUUCGGAUCGUAAAGCUCUGUUGUUGGUGAAGAAGGAUAGAGGCAGUAACUGGCCUUUAUUUGACGGUAAUCAACCAGAAAGUCACGGCUAACUACGUGCCAGCAGCCGCGGUAAAUCGUAGGUGGCAAGCGUUGUCCGGAUUUAUUGGGCGUAAAGCGAGCGCAGGCGGAAGAAUAAGUCUGAUGUGAAAGCCCUCGGCUUAACCGAGGAAUUGCAUCGGAAACUGUUUUCUGAGUGCAGAAGAGGAGAGUAGAACUCCAUGUGUAGCGGUGGAAUGCGUAGAUAUAUGGAAGAAUACCAGUGGCGAAGGCGGCUCUCUGGUCUGCAACUGACGCUGAGGCUCGAAAGCAUGGGUAGCGAACAGGAUUAGAUACCCUGGUAGUCCAUGCCGUAAACGAUGAGUGCUAAGUGUUGGGAGGCUUCCGCCUCUCAGUGCUGCAGCUAACGCAUUAAGCACUCCGCCUGGGGGAGUACGACCGCAAGGUUGAAAC